rnacentral:lncRNA from 1 species
UGAACUGACUUGGAACUGUGCAUCCCGGUAACCAAAAAUGAACACCGUUAUAACUCCAUCCGUGCACAUCAUAAACAAUUAUAGUAUUAUGAAAUGCGGCACUCUUCAUUGUUAAUAUGACAUCUUCUGUAAUACGGUUGAGUGAAGGUGCAUCCAAUUUUAUGGUAUUCUUGAAUGAAAUUUCCUUCUUCCAUCCCUUCAUACUAUGUGAAAGAGCCUUCAAACUCGAAACCUUCACCAAUGAGAUGCAGUUAUUGACAUGAAGCUCUUCGAUGUGUGGAGGAACCUCCGAAAGACAACCAAGCUUCUUGCAAUUGUCUAAGUACAGAAUACGUAGUCUUGAAAGAUUCUUAAAGCUUGUAGGCAACAUCUUGACAUUGCUUCCAUCUAGUCUUAGUUCAUACAGUAAUGACAAGGAAUCAAUGUUCACAGGGAGUUCAAGCAAGUUGCCACAAUCUUUCAAAUAUAGUAUUAUCAACGAUUCUAAACCACCAAAUAAGGCUUCUAACUUUGAUUUAGUUACUACAUUGCAAUUAGAAAGAUCAAUCUCUGUAAGUGAUCUCAUGGAAGACAUUUCUUUCGGGAGAUUCUUAAGUCUUAAACCUUGUAAAUCAAGCCUCCAAAGCAUGCUCAUACGACCGAUUGAUGAGUGCAGUAUUUCAAUACCUGUAUUGCUUAAAUCCAACUCUUCAAUCGAAUCUGAGGACAACGAAAAUUCCCUGAGACUUGAGCAGCCACUGACAUCAAUUUUCUGUAGAGAUGUUAAAUGAUUCUCACUAACAAGAAUCUCCAACUUUUUGCACCCAUCUAAAAGCAAAGUAACAAGUGUGUCCUUGGAAAAAACAGAUGGUUGAACUUCAUGUAAACUUUCACAACCUGAGAGAUACAACCAUUUAAGUUUUUCAGCACCAGACAAAUCAGGGAGCUUCAUCAGCUGUUUGCUUUCCCUUAGGUCGACUUUUUCUAAAUGCACAAGUUUCUGUCACAAGUCAAAAUGGAAAAUCCUUCAAUUUUCAUUUAUUUUUGGCUUAAUAACAGUUUUGGCCCCCUAUGUUUCAAGAAGUUACGAUUUUGACCCAUAAUUAAAAUAAUUCGAUUUUGGCCCCCUAUGUUUUGCUCCCUUUGCACUUUUGGCCCCCUAUGCCAAUUUUGACCAAGUCAAUACUGACGUGGCGCCACGUGUGUAGUUUUUUUAAUAAUUAAAAAAUACUUUUUUGUUAUUUUUUAAUUAAAAAAUAAAAAAAUACUUUUUUAAAAUAUUUUAAUUAAAAAAUAAAAAUAAAAAAUUACACAUGUGGCGCCACAUCAGCAUUGACUUGGUCAAAAUUGACCUAGGGCACCAAAAGUAAAAAGGGGCAAAACAUAGGGGGUCAAAAUCGAAUUAUUUUAGUUAGGGGAUCAAAAUCGCAACUUCUAUAAACAUAGGGGGCCAAAAAUACUAUUAAACCUUUAUUUUAUUCACAAACGCACACAGGCGUACACACACCUGCAUCCCGUGCCAAAGAUAUUUUAUAUUGCUGCGAGGCAAGUGAAUUUCAACAAGUAGCUCAGCGCAAAAAGGGUGUGGAAGAGACUUCAAGGGAUAUUCACUCCACUCAAGAUAUCUCAAUUUAUCCGAAAAUAGGCAUCAUAUCCUCAGGAUGAUAUAUGGUAGUUGAUAUCUUCUUACUCAAGGGGACAUACAGUCUUAGAAAUCUUAAUUUAGUCAUCAUUUUGAAUGUGUCUGCCCCGACAUGCAAAUCUUCCUUUUGAGACAAAUCAAAUAUUAUCCCUUCAACUUUAGGAGUGCCCUAACCAAUCAAAAGAAAAAAAAUAAGUAAAAACAUUAUUUAAUCAACUAGUAGAAUAAUUUUUAACAAUAAAUAAGUGGUUGACACUCCUUAAUUACCUUGUUAUUUUUUAAUACAUCACAAACUUCUUUAAUAUCUCUUAACCUGCUGCAUUUUUCCGGGUCUCUGCUAGUCUGGUCUUUCUUUUGCCGAACUAUGUCAAAAGCCAUUUGUUGUAGUAAGUCGUGCAUUUGUAUUAUAUUAUCAUAUGAAAUAGUGAUAAGAGCUUUAUCUUCAAGGGUGACUAUUCCACUGGCAGCAUUGAAACCACAGGCAUCUAGUAUUCUUGUCACAAAAUCUCUUUUUUCAUCUUUGAAAAAGAACGCAAUAUCUAAAAACAUUUCCUUUUCUCGGACUAUUAAUCCAUUAUAGCUAGAUUUUUCUGUUCUUGAGCUUAUCAAACCGGCGAAUAUCGAAAAAUCAUCCUGGAGGAAACAUUUACAAUCUAAUCAGAAAUCACAAAAGAAGAAAUGAAAAAUGAAAAAAUAUAUGUGAUUUCAAAAUGCUUGCAUCUAAUGUUGCUUGUUCAUUCUAAAGAAUAAUAUUGAGAAUCAUUCUAAAUGGAGAAAAACUAAGCUAUUGUAAUCAAAUAGAAGGAUGAAAGUUAAAAACGUGCCUAUAAUCAUGUCAUUGACACCAUCACAAGAUGAAGUAUCUCGUCUUGAAUUAGUGUCUCUGCAAGUCAAGACAUGCAAUUCAUCAGCUCACUCAAGAAAAACAAAACAUAUAAUCUUCAUGUAAGUUCAUAAUACGCAAAUGGAAGAAAAGAAACAUACUAUAAACUCUCGGAUUUCAUAGUAGGCCGUGGCGGAUUAAUCUCCAUAAAUAGCUCAAUGGACCUGCUUACAGUAAACAUUUACCCAAAAGAACAUUAUCCCAAUUUGUUGAGCUUAUAAUUUUCUAAAAGUAUAUACUAAGAUUACACCCGGGGAAUACCGGGUUCGAUUCCCAAGGGGAACAACGCUUGGCCAGUGCGCAUGCCUAAACGCAUGAGCCGGAUUAGUCGCCCACCACUGGUGGGUCAGUGCGAAAGCCAAAAAAAAAAAUAAUGAUUUUACUUAUUUUUAAAUUAGGGAUGUCUCUCGACAAUUUUAUGACAUUGAAAAAAGAAGGACUAGAAGAUAAUAAUGUGUGCGAUUUGUGCAAGAGGGUAAAUAGUUUUCAUACCCAUGAAGCAGUCAAAUGAUGAACACCUGCAUUUUUCAUUCAAGUUCAAAUCUUGUUGGUUAUUCUGAAUGCUAGUUCUUUCAUUCUCAUCACGUCUUUCAACUGACUCAUCAAUCUCAUUUCCUAUUUCUCUCUCAUCAUCAUCACCAUCAUCAUCAUAUCUUGCAAUUGAUUCUGACUGAAAUUGUUGUAUAUAUUCAUGAAAAUCUGAUCCUAGGCUCCGUGACAACUCCAAUGCAAUUUCCUUUUCUAAGUCUCUGUCCAAAUUCAUGGUGGCUGCAAGCCUUGGAAAUUCUGAGUAAUAAAUUGGAUAGAUCCCACACUCUUUCAAAAUAUAAGAGCCAUUAAGAUCCCCACUUAAAUUUGUAACAGAGAAUUCAAAUGCAUUUCCAAUGAAAUGUGGUUCAUUAUAGCACAUGAAAACAUGAUCCAGGCUCACAUCUUUAAUAGAAUGACUAUUUAUAAAAUUCAAGUCGCCACUUUCCGAAUAGUACUUGAAUCUGAUUUCUAGAUUAUUACCAUGCUCCUCCAUUUGAAAGGAUGGAGAAACAACAACAGAAUAAAUGAAUCCAACAUCUUUGGAAAGUGGAGGAAUUUUAAUAGUAAUGGAGGAAGAGGAACCUAUUGCUCGGAAUUUGAACUGACUUGGAACUGUGCAUCCCGGUAACCAAAAAUGAACACCGUUAUAACUCCAUCCGUGCAAAUCAUAAACAAUUAUAGUAUUAUGAAAUGCGGCACUCUUCAUUGUUAAUAUGACAUCUUCUGUAAUACGGUUGAGUGAAGGUGCAUCCAAUUUUAUGGUAUUCUUGAAUGAAAUUUCCUUCUUCCAUCCCUUCAUACUAUGUGAAAGAGCCUUCAAACUCGAAACCUUCACCAAUGAGAUGCAGUUAUUGACAUGAAGCUCUUCGAUGUGUGGAGGAACCUCCGAAAGACAACCAAGCUUCUUGCAAUUGUCUAAGUACAGAAUACGUAGUCUUGAAAGAUUCUUAAAGCUUGUAGGCAACAUCUUGACAUUGCUUCCAUCUAGUCUUAGUUCAUACAGUAAUGACAAGGAAUCAAUGUUCACAGGGAGUUCAAGCAAGUUGCCACAAUCUUUCAAAUAUAGUAUUAUCAACGAUUCUAAACCACCAAAUAAGGCUUCUAACUUUGAUUUAGUUACUACAUUGCAAUUAGAAAGAUCAAUCUCUGUAAGUGAUCUCAUGGAAGACAUUUCUUUCGGGAGAUUCUUAAGUCUUAAACCUUGUAAAUCAAGCCUCCAAAGCAUGCUCAUACGACCGAUUGAUGAGUGCAGUAUUUCAAUACCUGUAUUGCUUAAAUCCAACUCUUCAAUCGAAUCUGAGGACAACGAAAAUUCCCUGAGACUUGAGCAGCCACUGACAUCAAUUUUCUGUAGAGAUGUUAAAUGAUUCUCACUAACAAGAAUCUCCAACUUUUUGCACCCAUCUAAAAGCAAAGUAACAAGUGUGUCCUUGGAAAAAACAGAUGGUUGAACUUCAUGUAAACUUUCACAACCUGAGAGAUACAACCAUUUAAGUUUUUCAGCACCAGACAAAUCAGGGAGCUUCAUCAGCUGUUUGCUUUCCCUUAGGUCGACUUUUUCUAAAUGCACAAGUUUCUGUCACAAGUCAAAAUGGAAAAUCCUUCAAUUUUCAUUUAUUUUUGGCUUAAUAACAGUUUUGGCCCCCUAUGUUUCAAGAAGUUACGAUUUUGACCCAUAAUUAAAAUAAUUCGAUUUUGGCCCCCUAUGUUUUGCUCCCUUUGCACUUUUGGCCCCCUAUGCCAAUUUUGACCAAGUCAAUACUGACGUGGC